UCCAGAGAUGCUGCCUGUCCCGCUGAGUUACUCCAGCAUUUUCAAUUUUGUGGCAUGAGUGAACAGAUGCAGCUGUUGAAGGCAGAGCAGCAACUUUCCAUAAGUGAUGCAGUUGUGAUAUAAACCCGAAAUAAUGUAAUCA